GACGAACGCUGGCGGCGUGCCUAAUACAUGCAAGUCGAACGAGAGCGCCCGGUGCUUGCGCUGGUCAAUCUAGUGGCGAACGGGUGAGUAACACGUGGGUAACCUGCUCAUCAGAGGGGGAUAACAUCCGGAAACGGAUGCUAAAACCGCAUAGGUCUUCGAGCCGCAUGGCUUGAAGAGGAAAAGAGGCGCAAGCUUCUGCUGAUGGAUGGACCCGCGGUGCAUUAGCUAGUUGGUGAGGUAACGGCUCACCAAGGCCGUGAUGCAUAGCCGACCUGAGAGGGUGAGCGGCCACAUUGGGACUGAGACACGGCCCAGACUCCUACGGGAGGCAGCAGUAGGGAAUCUUGCGCAAUGGACGCAAGUCUGACGGAGCAACGCCGCGUGAGUGAAGAAGGUUUUCGGAUCGUAAAACUCUGUUGUUAGAGAAGAACAAGUGCUAGAGUAACUGUUAGCGCCUUGACGGUAACUAACCAGAAAGCCACGGCUAACUACGUG
rnacentral:rRNA from 1 species